UGUAAAUACAUAUAUUAUGUACUGUAAAAUGUGAACUAAUAGCUGAGUAGUAGCAGUCGAAAACCUUAGGUGAUGGUACAAAUGAGUGUGAGUGUGUGUGAUGAGGGCAAGAUAAGAGAGGGUGAUGGUGUAAGUGUGUCAGCCAGGCUAGACAAACACUCAGUGUGUCAACACAGCCACCCACCCAACACUGUACUCUGACGCUCCUCUACACGGUAUCUUCCUACCCUCGUUUAUCCUCCUCCUUACUGCCCGAAUUAAAGCUCCCGGUUGCACGUGGUUCUAAGGGAAAGUCCAGAGGGGCUAAAGCUUAGGGAGGUUGAAGACUGGGAUACAUACUCCAACACCAACUGCUUAGAUGACAUUAGAGUAGAGUACAUGUUAAACAAGUGUAAAAUAAGUGAGUCUCCUGAAUCAAAAUGGCUGCUAACAAUGAAGUGCUCGCCUUGAUUACUGAUCUGGAUUGCCAAGAGGAUCGUCGUUAUCGUUCACCAUGCUGUGUCAAGAACGAUGACAGCACCAUAAAGGAGGUGGAGUCACUCGUGUAACUUUUUUAUUUGAUCAAACCUGGUUGCAUUUUUUGCAUAAAUUGACUUUACUGAAUUCCUGCACUGGAUUUUAUUCUGCAUGUUUAGAUUUAAUUAUAAUCUGGUGUAAAUCUGUUCAUUUAUAUGGUAGACAUUGUAUACAAGUAUGCCCAAAUUCAAAUACUUGUUUGUCUUACCACAUAAUAACUUCUUUCACUCUCCAUGAUCUUUGCUAUGAAAAAAGCCAAAAAAAAAAAAAAAAAUAAAGAAAUUUGCUGUAUGCUUUUUAAUACAGUCAAAAUACUGUACAUAAAAUACCUUGAAACCUCCUCAGGUACUGUAGCUACAGUACUUUAUUUGCAAGUUUUCAUUACACAGUGUUUCUACUGAUGAACAACUAGUGAAGUUUCAAUUU